ACCCCUAAUCCAAUAUACACAGAGGGUUAUAUCUUCACGUCCCUUCUAUUCAAGAUCAAGAUUAGGAGUCAGAGAGGCAGAGAGAUAUAUAGAGAGAGCAAUAGAGAAAGAGAGAGCAGGACAGCUGCAUAUGCGCAUGUGCAUGCAAUACAAGUACACACCAAUCCUCGGCCUGAGACUGGCCAGGUAUGUAAGUAGAAGCAAAUGCAUACUUUCUUAUUCGUUUUGUUUGAAGGACUAUGCACAACAAGUGCGGUUCAGUUGACGAUGCAAUAUUUUCUUUUCAGAAGAAAAACAAAGCCAAAUAAUGGACCGGUAGUUGCGUGCCGCUGCGUGUUCAGUCAAUGCUCUGUUGGCCAUGGUUGGCCUGACUUUGCUGAGAUUGCACUUCAGGGAAAGACCAUAAACCCGAGGGAAAAGACCGUCGAAAGUCAUCAUGGCCCAGGGAUUAUUUCUAUUCUAGAUCACACGCUAAACGCAGCUAUAUUUAGAGCGGAAACUAUACUGGGCUUAAAAUACAUAAGUAAACAAUCGCCUCA